GAUGAACGCUGGCGGCGUGCCUAAUACAUGCAAGUCGAGCGAAUGGAUUGAGAGCUUGCUCUUAUGAAGUUAGCGGCGGACGGGUGAGUAACACGUGGGUAACCUGCCCAUAAGACUGGGAUAACUCCGGGAAACCGGGGCUAAUACCGGAUAACAUUUUGAACCGCAUGGUUCGAAAUUGAAAGGCGGCUUCGGCUGUCACUUAUGGAUGGACCCGCGUCGCAUUAGCUAGUUGGUGAGGUAACGGCUCACCAAGGCAACGAUGCGUAGCCGACCUGAGAGGGUGAUCGGCCACACUGGGACUGAGAAACGGCCCAGACUCCGACGGGAGGCAGCAGUAGGGAAUCUUCCGCGAUGGACGAAAGUCUGACGGAGCAACGCCGCGUGAGUGGUGAAGGCUUUCGGGUCGUAAAACUCUGUUGUUAGGGAAGAACAAGUGCUGGUUGAAUAAGCUGGCACCUUGACGGUACCUAACCAGAAAGCCACGGCUAACUACGUGCCAGCCGCCGCGGUAA
rnacentral:rRNA from 1 species